rnacentral:rRNA from 1 species
GCCUAACACAUGCAAGUCGAACGGAGAGGAUGUAGCAAUAUAUCGUCUUAGUGGCGAACGGGUGAGUAACGCGUUGGUGACCUGCCCCGAAGAGGGGGAUAACAGUUCGAAAGGACUGCUAAUACCCCAUAGGGUCAAAGAGAUUAGAAGCUCAUUGACCAAAGGAGAAAUUCGCUUCGGGAGGGGCCUGCGUCCCAUCAGCUAGUUGGUAAGGUAACGGCUUACCAAGGCGACGACGGGUAGGGGACCUGAGAGGGUGGCCCCCCACAAUGGAACUGAAACACGGUCCAUACACCUACGGGUGGCAGCAGUAGGGAAUAUUAGUUAAUGUGCGAAAGCGCGAACUAGCAACGCCGCGUGUGCGAUGAAGGCCUUCGGGUCGUAAAGCACUUUUCGAGAAGAUGAGGAAGGACAGUACUCUCGGAAUAAGUCUCGGCUAACUACGUGCCAGCAGCCGCGGUAAUAC